rnacentral:tRNA from 1 species
GGGAAGGUGGCUCAGUGGUAGAGCACUUGCCUUGCAUGCAAGAAGCCCUAUUCCU